rnacentral:rRNA from 1 species
GUAGGGAAUAUUGGACAAUGGGGGGAACCCUGAUCCAGCCAUGCCGCGUGGAGGAAGACUGCCCUCUGGGUUGUAAACUCCUUUUAUAUGGGAAGAACCGUCCUCAUUAAUGAGUGACCUGACGGUACCAUAGGAAUAAGCACCGGCUAACUCCGUGCCAGCAGCCGCGGUAAUACGGAGGGUGCAAGCGUUAUCCGGAUUCACUGGGUUUAAAGGGUGCGUAGGCGGAUAAAUAAGUCAGUGGUGAAAUCAACGGGCCCAACCUGUUAACUGCCAUUGAUACUGUGUAUCUUGAAUAUGAGAGAGGUAGGCGGAAUGUUGCAUGUAGCGGUGAAAUGCUUAGAUAUGCUACGGAACACCGAUUGCGAAGGCAGCUUACUAUUUCGUAAUUGACGCUGAGGCACGAAAGCGUGGGUAGCGAACAGGAUUAGAUACCCCAGUAGUCC